rnacentral:rRNA from 1 species
CACGUAGGGCGCAAGCGUUGUCCGGAAUUAUUGGGCGGAAAGAGCUCGUAGGCGGUCUGUUGCGUCUGCUGUGAAAACCCGGGGCUUAACCCCUGGCUUGCAGUGGAUACGGACAGACUAGAGGUAGGUAGGGGAGAAUGGAAUUCCCGGUGUAGCGGUGAAAUGCGCAGAUAUCGGGAGGAACACCGGUGGCGAAGGCGGUUCUCUGGGCCUUACCUGACGCUGAGGAGCGAAAGCGUGGGGAGCGAACAGG